CCAUACCUACGGGGGGCAGCAGUAGGGAAUCUUCCACAAUGGACGAAAGUCUGAUGGAGCAACGCCGCGUGAGUGAAGAAGGGUUUCGGCUCGGAAAACUCUGUUGGUAGUGAAGAAAGAUAGAGGUAGUAACUGGCCUUUAUUUUACGGUAAUUACUUAGAAAGUCACGGCUAACUACGUGCCAGCAGCCGCGGUAAUACGUAAGUGGCAAGCGUUGUCCGGAUUUUUUGGGCGUAAA
rnacentral:rRNA from 1 species